UCUCCAUCUCCCUCGUCUGCAGCCGCCCUCCCCAUAGCCGCUACCACAACCGGCGCACUGCCCCAUAGCUGGCGCCCCCCACUCCUUCCCCCUCCCCUCAGGCUAUCCCCACCACUGACGACCUCCUUGCCUCCUCAGGCUCUGGCACGCCCAUGGCUCUGCUUCCCCCAUCGACCGGAGGAACGCAGACGGAGCACGCCGUCGCCAUCGCACAUUCUUCCUCCUCCGCUACCGGUCGUCUGCCCCUCCCCUCUUCUCCCCAUGGGAUAGCCAGGGGCCCACCUUGUGCUUGAGUCAUGGAGGGGCCGCCGGCGGGUGUGGAUGAGGAGAUCCACCACAGACAACCCGAGGUUAUUCGCCUGUCCAUGCUGCUAUUACAGAGGCGGACGCCGUGGCUGCCGUUUCAUCCGCACACGCAUUGGCCAUCCCAGAAUGUGACCCUAUGCGUGGUGGUGGGGUAUGAUCUGAUCAAGGUCUCCGAGCAGCUCUGCAAAUCAGACUUGGAUAUCCCGAUUAAAAGGUCAGUGCAGAAUCAUGUCUUACAAUUCCUACUGGCGCUAGCUCUUUAUUUAGAGAGUGAAUGUUUGCUCAGGGAUACAUUCAUAGAGUUCCUUAGCGCAAUGAUGUGUCACCUACAGGAAGAAACUGUAGUCAAGAAGAACGUGAUCAUUUGAUAAGUAUGAUAAGGUACAUAACAUUCAGCCUGAAAUGGUGUUGGUGUUUCGCAAAAAGUUUGGCCACUUGAACCUGACUUUUUCUAUUGGAGAGCAGAUCAGUUCUGAUGUAAGUGUUGUACUGUUGAAAACUCAUAAAUAUCUUCUAGAAAUAUUCAGCUCGUUUCCUAUCACGUUGUAUUUGCUGAUUUAUGGUUGUUCGUAUAGUUGGCUAUAGACUACAUUUUUCUUGUCCUACACUUCCCUUUCCUCCAUGUUAAAGUUCGCAACAUGGAAAAUGUUCACAUGCUUGAUAUGUGCUUCCGUCCUUAUGCAGUGUAGAUUUAAAAAAUAUAAUGUUUUAUGAUUGUCAUUUAUUUCCUAUUUUUGAUUCAUGGAUGACAGUAAUCUACCUACCAACGCUCAAAUGGUUUCAAGAAAUUGGUGAAAACAAGUGAUGUGUUUUCAAUCUUUUGAUGUGUGAAGAUGUGCAUCACAUGUCAAUGUAAGGAGAAAUGGAAGGAUUUAUGGCAACAUCCAACAAUUUUGUUGCUUACUUGUACAACCUAUUUUUUAUUUGGUGAUAUUCGUUGCAAUAUACCUAUGUAUCACACAUACUACAAGGAGACAAAGUCUUAAUUAAUAAUUGGAACCUGUAACUCAUAUAUGUCCUUUGUUAAGGAUGCUUUUUUUGUUUUAUAGCUCAGACUGAAUUCUAUGAUCCUAUCCAAGCCCUGUUCACUGGCAUUGCCUGUUGAUUCCCUUCUCAGAACAGAAGAUCCACACUAAACAUAGCAUGUCCAUCAGAGGAGCAAAUGUUGUUUAUCACCGCAUCUCUUCACAUGUUGGCAAGCCUGAUAUCUAUGAAAGUACACCUUUGUGCUUGGUGGUAAACUUGUUUCUCAUUCACUUAUGUUCAGCAUUUCCUUGAUCAUUUUGUAAUAUUAUUUUUGUAUUUUUCUCUGCAUUAAGAUUGAUGCACAGUCUGGUACUUAGAAGAAAAUUUUGUCCAUGAUUUUCUGCUGGGUUGAUUUUGACAUUAAUUUAACAAUGAGUACUUAAAUUGUGAUAUUUCGAAGUGCAUGGGAGCUAUAUAGGUCCGCUAUUAUUCGGUUUGAGCUUUAUGGCAGAAAUUAGCUUCAUGUUUCUCUGAACAAACUAGGCACUAUACAAGGUGGUGGCGCCGUACCUGCUUGGUGCGGACAGGAGAAGAUGCAGGGGUUCCGCUUCUCGGCCUCGGCGACAUCAUCGUGCCCCUCCACCGCUGGUUUUGUUGCUCAGGCGGCACUACCGCUCUACUAUGGCAGGCCUGCUUGUUGCUCAGAUCAAAUGAAGUUCAUUAGGAGGGACGCAAAACAACCAGGCAUGACCUACUGCUUCGCUCCUAACCGCUUGAGCAAGGCAAUGGGAGAGGCGAACACAACUACCUGCCUCCUUCCUUGGGGCAACACCGUUGGUCCCUGCCACCUCCGUCGUCUGCUCCGGUGACUAGCGGGUGGGGACCUUGGGGGUUCGGCUCCGACUGUAGAUAGAGUUACAACUUAAUAUUUUCCAUACAAUUUCCUAUGUCUACCUAUGAUCUGUGGAACUCCGCCUUUGCUUUUUGAGACUGCUAAACCUUCUGGUUGUGCCUCUCUGAUCAAGACUGGCCCUUCUAUGUUAACAAACCUAUUAGUAUCUAUCAAACUAUCUUCUGCUUUAUGAAUGGACACCGCUUGUUGAUAUUUCUAGCAUAUACUUGAUGAAAUAUGCAUAAAUAUGUGUU